GUAGGUGGCAAGCGUUGUCCGGAAUUAUUGGGCGUAAAGCGCGCGCAGGCGGUUUUUAAGUCUGAUGUGAAAGCCCACGGCUCAACCGUGGAGGGUCAUUGGAAACUGGAGAACUUGAGUACAGAAGAGGAAAGCGGAAUUCCACGUGUAGCGGUGAAAUGCGUAGAGAUGUGGAGGAACACCAGUGGCGAAGGCGGCUUUCUGGUCUGUAACUGACGCUGAGGCGCGAAAGCGUGGGGAGCAAACAGGAUUAGAUACCCUGGUAGUCCACGCCGUAAACGAUGAGUGCUAAGUGUUAGGGGGUUUCCCGCCCCCUUAGUGCUGCAGCUAACGCAUUAAGCACUCCGCCUGGGGAGUACGGCCGCAAGGCUG
rnacentral:rRNA from 1 species